rnacentral:rRNA from 1 species
GCGUGCUUAACACAUGCAAGUCGCACGAGAACACCUCAGAUUGCUGGGGUAAGUAUAGUGGCGCACGGGUGAGUAACGCGUGGGUAAUCUAGCCUCGAAUCUAGGGAUAACCCCGCGCAAAGCGGGGCUAAUACCGGCAUGAAAUCCAGUUAGCUUUGGCUAUAUGGAUCAAAGGUGGCCUCUGCAUGCAAGCUAGUGAUUGGGGAUGAGCCCGCGUACCAAUUAGCUUGUUGGUGGGGUAAAGGCCCAACCAAUGCGAAGAUCGUUAGCUGGUCUGAGAGGAUGAUCAUGCACACUGGAACUGGAACACGGUCCAGACUCCUACGGGAGUGCAUCAGUGAGGAAUUGUGCGCAAUUGGCGGGUAACCCUGACGCAUCAACACCGCAGUGAGUGAUGAAGGCCUUCGGGUCGUACAGCUCUGUCAAGUGGGAAGAACCCAUGCCGGCACAACAAGCCGGGGUGCUUACGGUACCACUGAACGAAGCACCGGCUAACUCCGUGCCAUCAGACGCGGUAAUACGGACGGUGCGAGCGUCAUUCGGAAUUUCUGCGCGUAUCCGGCGCAUAUGCGGCCGAUUACGUCUGAUGUGAUAUCCCGGGGCUUACCCCCGGAAGUGCCUUUGAUACUGAGCGGCUUGAGUAUGGGAGAGGGACGCGGAAUUCCUGGUGUAGCGGUGACAUGCGUAGAUCUCAGGACGAACACCGGUGGCGAAGGCCGACUUCCUGGACCAAUACUGACCGCUGAGGCGCGAAGGCGUGCGGAGCAAACAGUGAUUCGAUACCCUGUGUAGACCACGCAGUAAACGGUGAUCAAUAGCCUGUUAUCGGGUAUUGACCCCUGCUGUGGCCGGAGAUAACGCACAAAGUGACCCGCCUGGGGAGUACGCCAAGCAAGGUUAAAACUCAAAGGAAUUAGACGGGGGCCCGCACAAGCGGUGGAGCAUGUGGUUUAAUUCGACGCAAAGCGAAGAACCCUUACCUGGAUAUGACAUCUCGGGAAUCCCCGCGGAAACGCGGGAGUGCCCGUCGGGGGAGCCCGAAGACAGGUGCUGCAUGGCAGUCGUCAGCUCGUGUCGUGAGAUGUUGGGUUAAGUCCCGCAACGAGCGCAACCCAUAUCGUCAGUUAUCCAGCGAGUAAAGUCGGCGCGAUUAUGGAGAUACUGCCCCAGUUCAACGGGGAGCAAUGGUGGGGAUGACGUCAAGUCCUCAUGGCCUUUAUGUCCAGGGCUACACACGUGCUACAAUGCGCCUAGUACAGAGGGAAACGAUCUCGCGAGGGUGAGCCAAUCCCAGGAAGCAGUCCUCAGUUCGGAUUCGGAGUCGGCA